rnacentral:rRNA from 1 species
AGAAACCAACAGGGAUUGCCUUAGUAACGGCGAGUGAAGCGGCAACAGCUCAAAUUUGAAAUCUGGCUCUUUCAGAGUCCGAGUUGUAAUUUGCAGAGGGCGCUUUGGCUUUGGCAGCGGUCCAAGUUCCUUGGAACAGGACGUCACAGAGGGUGAGAAUCCCGUACGUGGUCGCUAGCUAUUGCCGUGUAAAGCCCCUUCGACGAGUCGAGUUGUUUGGGAAUGCAGCUCUAAAUGGGAGGUAAAUUUCUUCUAAAGCUAAAUAUUGGCCAGAGACCGAUAGCGCACAAGUAGAGUGAUCGAAAGAUGAAAAGCACUUUGGAAAGAGAGUCAAACAGCACGUGAAAUUGUUGAAAGGGAAGCGCUUGCAGCCAGACUUGCUUGCAGUUGCUCAUCCGGGCUUUUGCCCGGUGCACUCUUCUGCAGGCAGGCCAGCAUCAGUUUGGGCGGUGGGAUAAAGGUCUCUGACACGUUCCUUCCUUCGGGUUGGCCAUAUAGGGGAGACGUCAUACCACCAGCCUGGACUGAGGUCCGCGCAUCUGCUAGGAUGCUGGCGUAAUGGCUGUAAGCGGCCCGUCUUGAAACACGGACCAAGGAGUCUAACAUCUAUGCGAGUGUUUGGGUGUCAAGCCCGAGCGCGUAAUGAAAGUGAACGGAGGUGGGAACCCGCAAGGGCGCACCAUCGACCGAUCCUGAAGUUUACGGAAGGAUUUGAGUAAGAGCAUGGCUGUUGGGACCCGAAAGAUGGUGAACUAUGCUUGAAUAGGGUGAAGCCAGAGGAAACUCUGGUGGAGGCUCGCAGCGGUUCUGACGUGCAAAUCGAUCGUCAAAUUUGGGCAUAGGGGCGAAAGACUAAUCGAAC